rnacentral:rRNA from 1 species
GACGAACGCUGGCGGCGUGCUUAACACAUGCAAGUCGAACGCUGAAGACCUGGCUUUUGUUGGGUUGGAUGAGUGGCGAACGGGUGAGUAACACGUGAGUAACCUGCCCUCUUCUUUGGGAUAACGCCCGGAAACGGGUGCUAAUACUGGAUAUUCACUGAUCUUCGCAUGGGGGUUGGUGGAAAGGUUUGUUCUGGUGGGGGAUGGGCUCGCGGCCUAUCAGCUUGUUGGUGGGGUGAUGGCCUACCAAGGCUUUGACGGGUAGCCGGCCUGAGAGGGUGACCGGUCACAUUGGGACUGGGAUACGGCCCAGACUCCUACGGGAGGCAGCAGUGGGGAAUAUUGCACAAUGGGCGAAAGCCUGAUGCAGCGACGCCGCGUGAGGGAUGGAGGCCUGCGGGUUGUAAACCUCUUUCGCUCAUGGUCAAGCCGCAACUGUGGGUUGUGGUGAGGGUAGUGGGUAAAGAAGCGCCGGCUAACUACGUG